GUUUUUUACCAUUUUCACUUUCUCUCAUUUCUCUCUCCUGAAUUGCUAUCUCCCCCUUCUCUGUUCCUUCUUUCCAUUUUUUCAUUCUCCCUGUUUUUUUACAUCUAAAGCUGUGAUUUUUUACACCAAAACUGUGAUUUUUAUCUCAGAUUCCAUGACAACGAUAUCGUAUUUGCGUUCCUCUCCAAGUUUACAUUUCUAUAUCGUGUUCUUGGUAGAAGAACACAUCAAAGCUGCCAUUUUGAUCUCAAAACUCUCUGAGUGCAGAGAAGGUGAAAGAACACUAAAGCUGCGAUUUUUAUCUCCAAAAAGCUUCGAUUUUUAUCUCAAACAAAUUUGUUUUCUUUAUUUCUCUGUUUACGUUUUCUUUGUUUCUUUGUUUCUCACAAUACAAUAACUUAUAUUUUUUUAUUCAACCUCUAUUGCAUGCAGAAAAGGUGGAAGGGCACACUAUAACUGCAGUUUUUAUCUAAAAACUCCACGAAGAAGAUGGAAGAAGACACUAAAGCUGUGAUUUUUAUCUACAAAAAGCUUCAAUUUUUAUCUCAAACAGGGAUUUCAAUUUACAUUUUGAUGCAAAGGCUCUCAAUAUUCGUAGCCUGAAUUAUAUUUAUUCAUUAAUAUAGAUGAUUAGGAAGCAGCAAAAUUGAAGUGAUGAUGACCCCAUUUGAUUGAUGAAGAAAUUUUUAUGUUACUUUAUUUUAACAGUUUAAAGUUGUAAUUUAAUAAUUAUGAUUUCUAGACAAUGUAUUUUAUUAAUGAUAGAUGAUAUGAGUCAUGUUGAG